UUAACUCAAAUAUGUAUGGAGUUGGAACAUUUGCUUACGUUUGCCGCUAGGGGCACUGUUCCAACAUGCAUGCAUACAAAUUUGAGUUA
rnacentral:pre_miRNA from 1 species